UAGUCAUAUGCUUGUCUCAAAGAUUAAGCCAUGCAUGUCUAAGUAUAAACUGCUUUAUACUGUGAAACUGCGAAUGGCUCAUUAAAUCAGUUAUAGUUUAUUUGAUGGUACCUACUACUCGGAUAACCGUAGUAAUUCUAGAGCUAAUACGUGCGUAAAUCCCGACUUCUGGAAGGGACGUAUUUAUUAGAUAAAAGGCCAGCCGGGCUCUGCCCGACCUGCGGUGAAUCAUGAUAACUUCACGAAUCGCACGGCCUCGUGCCGGCGAUGUUUCAUUCUAAUUUCUGCCCUAUCAACUUUCGAUGGUAAGGAUAUAUUUCCUACCAUGGUGGUAACGGGUGACGGAGGAUUAGGGUUCGACUCCGGAGAGGGAGCCUGAGAGAUGGCUACCACAUCCAAGGAAGGCAGCAGGCGCUCAAAUUACCCAAUCCCUUCACGGGGAGGCAGUGACCAUAAAUAACAAUACCGGGCAUU
rnacentral:rRNA from 1 species